ensembl:snoRNA
AGCAGUUGAGUCAAAUUUAGCUCUUGUCUCGAUGUGACGGGAGCUGGCCCAGGUGGCUGCUACAGCGAACUCUGUUGCUCAGAGGCUCUGGGUCCCUGGCUGGACCCUGGGGAAGAAUUUGGAUAUGGACAUAG